UAAUUGUCAAUUGAUUAACCUAUUGAAAUGGAGGAAGAAUUCCCUCUACGUAGUUUCGUUGCCUUUUAACCUGAAGGAUACUUCGCACGACAGCAAGCUUUAAGGCUUUAUUCUUACAGAACCAUCCUAAAAGCGCUCUUGUGCUCUACAAGGAAGAUUGCAACGUUCUCAAUUCCAAGUCGGAACCAGUUGAGUGCAGCUACUUUCAUAAGAGGAAGCACAGGGGAAAAAGAAAGCAAGCAAGUAGUGUACCUCCACCAGGGAGCACGGUGGAGGCACAGGGCUUGUUGGGGACCCGUCAUGAAGCUUGACUCCUUCUGCUCACACAGGGCUCAGCUCAAGGCUUGUGGAUACCCAUUCUAUCUCCCUAGGGGACACCAGCCCAAAUCCUAGUCAAUGAGGCCUAUUCCAAUAGCCAACGAGGCCUACUCCAGUGAGUCUCAGGCUUCAGACUUGCACGGCUCUGCUGAGGACCUCAUUUUUCCAUGGGUGGCCAUGGCACAUCUGUUAAUGGCAACUUGAACACGUCCACAGCAGUUAAGCAGUUUCACUUUCAGGCUCAGAUGUUGGUGUUCAAAGACUUUGUUCUUAUUCCGAUGACUGAUAGAGGACCUCUGUUUGGGUUGAUGCUGUAGUCUUUUAAGUAUGCUUUCCAGAAAGCUGUAAGUCUCUAUUUUGAGAGCAGAGCAGAGAUCCUUCUGUUGAACCCAUCGUAUAUAUUCAAGAAGACAACACUUUGGUGGACAUCAACACAUUGAGUUCCUGCUUCCCAGGCAAGGAGGAUGCUUGUGGCAGCUGACAAAGGCAUGGGCAGUGCUGGUGCUGCAAGCCAUGAAUGAGACAAGGUAUCCCAGAAUACCCCGGACAUCGGGCCAUACUUCCUGCUGGCUGGGAAGGACAAAAGGACAAAGCUGAAGGAGUGCCGGGGUCCCACCACCAGCUCUUGGAGGCACCAGUCUGCUACCAACAGCACUCCAACCCUCGGAGAAUGCUAAUAAGCCACUGAAGAGCUCAGCUUUCCUGCCAUAAUUCUAUAGCGCCGUCGAGGACCCCAUAGUGUUCGCUAAAUAAAGACAACUAAUUGAGAAUUUUUUGCA